rnacentral:rRNA from 1 species
UACGUAGGGUGCAAGCGUUAAUCGGAAUUACUGGGCGUAAAGCGUGCGCAGGCGGCUUUGCAAGACAGAUGUGAAAUCCCCGGGCUUAGCCUGGGAACUGCAUUUGUGACUGCAUGGCUAGAGUGCGGCAGAGGGGGGUGGAAUUCCGCGUGUAGCAGUGAAAUGCGUAGAUAUGCGGAGGAACACCGAUGGCGAAGGCAAUCCCCUGGGCCUGCACUGACGCUCAUGCACGAAAGCGUGGGGAGCAAACAGG